UCCCCGUUACCGGGGCAGUCUAGCUAGAGAAAUUCAACUAACUAUAAGGGUUGCGCUCGUUGAUGGACUUAACCAAACAUCUCACGACACGAGCUGACGACGGCCAUGCAUCACCUGUCAUCGGGUUCCCGAAGGCACGGUCUCCUUUCGGAGACUUUCCCGAGAUGUCAAACCCUGGUAAGGUUCUUCGCUUAGCCUCGAAUUAAACUACACGCUCCACCGCUUGUGCGGGUCCCCGUCAAUUCCUUUGAGUUUUAAUCUUGCGACCGUACUCCCCAGGCGGGAUGCUUAACGCGUUAGCUUCGCUACUACCAGGGUCGAUACUGAUAACAGCUAGCAUCCAUCGUUUACGGCGUGGACUAC
rnacentral:misc_RNA from 1 species